GCCAGUAUUAUGCUUCUCCCUUCCCUUAAAUAUUCUUUUUCCUUUCUAGCAAUUUUUCUUUAAUCAACAAAUUACUAUAAAAAAAUAUAUAUUUAUUUCGUCGAGUGCUGAGACCACAAAGGUAAACUUUAAUAUAUUUGCCUCAACCCCAAAAAACUGGUACAAAACAACGCUGUCUCUCUCUAUCUCUCUGCCUGCUUUAUCUUACUUUCAUUCAAUGCCCUUCAGCCGUUCCUAAAAGUCACCCGAAGUUUCAGUAUAAACCCUGAAAUUCCUUUAUACAUUUUCCCUUAUCUCACUCUCUCCGUCUCUUGAUCCACUCUUGAUUGUUCGGAUGGACGGGUACGGUCAAAGGUCUUACGGUGGUGAUCGGAGAUUCGAGAUUGUAAGUGGCAAGAGUUUCGCGGCUGCCAACCAGAUCUACUCGACGCCCGAUCCGCCACCGGUUCCGGCUCGCGCGACCAGGCAGAGUCGGACCACGUCAACGCCCUGGAGUUUUAGCGAUCCUGAGAUGAAGCGGAAGAAGAGGAUUGCCAAGUACAAGGUUUACACAGUGGAAGGCAAGUUCAAGGCUUCUUUCAAGAACGGGCUGCGUUGNAGUGCUCUGAGAUCAUCCAUGGAUAUUGAGUGGAAUUUUACGGUUUUGAUUAUCCCACGUGGGACGGGUCCCAUGUCAAGUGGUCCGCGGUGCUUAUGUGGUAGGAUCUUAUUUGCGGG
rnacentral:misc_RNA from 1 species